rnacentral:rRNA from 1 species
AGAGUUUGAUCCUGGCUCAGAUUGAACGCUGGCGGCAUGCCUUACACAUGCGAGUCGAACGGAUUGAGGGGCUUGCUCCUCAGUUAGUGGCGAACGGGUGAGUAAUGCAUCGGAACGUGCCUAGUUGUGGGGGAUAACUACUCGAAAGAGUAGCUAAUACCGCAUACGUCCUGAGGGAGAAAGCGGGGGACUCGCAAGAGCCUCGCGCAAUUAGAGCGGCCGAUGUCAGAUUAGCUAGUUGGUAGGGUAAAAGCCUACCAAGGCGACGAUCUGUAGCUGGUCUGAGAGGACGACCAGCCACACUGGGACUGAGACACGGCCCAGACUCCUACGGGAGGCAGCAGUGGGGAAUUUUGGACAAUGGGCGAAAGCCUGAUCCAGCCAUGCCGCGUGAGUGAAGAAGGCCUUCGGGUUGUAAAGCUCUUUCGGACAGAAAGAAAUCGCACGGGCUAAUACCCAGUGUGGAUGACGGUACUGUAAGAAGAAGCACCGGCUAACUACGUGCCAGCAGCCGCGGUAAUACGUAGGGUGCGAGCGUUAAUCGGAAUUACUGGGCGUAAAGGGUGCGCAGGCGGUUAUAUAAGACAGAUGUGAAAUCCCCGGGCUCAACCUGGGAACUGCGUUUGUGACUGUAUGACUAGAGUACGGUAGAGAGGGGUGGAAUUCCUGGUGUAGCAGUGAAAUGCGUAGAUAUCAGGAGGAACAUCGAUGGC